rnacentral:ncRNA from 1 species
AAGAAAGUAAGAAAGGGCGCAUGGCGGAUGCCUUGGCUCACGGAGGCGAUGAAGGACGUGAUAAGCUGCGAUAAGCCCCGGGUAGGUGCAAAUGACCUUUGAUCCUGGGAUUUCCGAAUGGGACAACCCGGCAGGCUGAAGGCCUGUCAUCACCGCAUGUGCGGUGAGGCGAACGGAGGGAACUGAAACAUCUUAGUACCUCCAGGAAGAGAAAAUAAACGAAUGAUUCCCCCAGUAGCGGCGAGCGAACGGGGAGUAGCCCAAACCGGCUGCGUAGCGAUGCGCCGCCGGGGUUGUAGGACCACGCUGUCGUACUUUGACUGUGAGGGGAACGUUCUGGAAAGGACGACCACAGCGGGUGACAGUCCCGUACCCGAAGCAUGAUGAGACGUAGU